UACGAAGGGUGCAAGCGUUACUCGGAAUUACUGGGCGUAAAGCGUGCGUAGGCGGUUUGUUAAGUCCGUUGUGAAAGCCCUGGGCUCAACCUGGGAAUUGCAGUGGAUACUGGCAAGCUAGAGUACGGUAGAGGAUGGUGGAAUUCCCGGUGUAGCGGUGAAAUGCGUAGAGAUCGGGAGGAACACCCGUGGCGAAGGCGGCCAUCUGGACCAGUACUGACGCUGAGGCACGAAAGCGUGGGAGCAAACAGGG
rnacentral:rRNA from 1 species